rfam:Myotis lucifugus cont2.10654, whole genome shotgun sequence.
GAGACACCCUUCUGGGGCAAGACUUGCUUCAGUGGGGCUUUGGUGCUCACUGAGUCUUCCUCCUGAGUGUGUCCCU